AAGUCGUAACAAGGUAACCGUAGGUGAACCUGCGGUUGGAUCAUUAUCACGUUCCAAACGUUUUAUCAACCAACGCGAAAAACUUUAAAACAAUUUUCUUUUUCAUUAUUGAUUGACUUCAAAGGUAAAAUUUUUUUCGAUGCAUUAAAUUGCGUUGAAAAUUGAUUUACUUUUUGUUGUUGAUUUUGAAAUUGAAUUUUGAUUUACCAUCAAAACCUUUUUUAUUUUAUAAACUGAAAUUGUUUUCAUUCUUUUUUUAAUUAAAGAGAAGAAAAUGUAAAAAUAAUUACGAAACAAAAGAACAACUCUUAGCAACGGAUAUCUUGGUUCUC
rnacentral:misc_RNA from 1 species